UGCAGUAAAUUGGUAUUGAGGUUGUGGG
rnacentral:piRNA from 1 species